GCGAAAUCAAAACAAACAAAAAUACUUCGCAAAUCAGUUCAUUUUGGUUUCGCAAAUUAAUUUGCAAAUUGCAACACUUUUCAAAUCUAGCUUCUUUGAAUAAUAGCAAAGCAAUUGUAAAUAGUUCGGAGCGGUAAGUGUUUCUUUCGUUCCUGCGUUAGUACCAGUCGCGGUCAAAACACCUUUGAAAAAAAAACUGACAAGCAACCAUCCCAUGCUGGUGGAUAGAGUCAAAAUCAACGCAAGUAUGUGCAGAAUAGUGUUGUGAAUCAAUUGAUUUCCGAACAGACGGUGAUGUGGCAGUUUUGGGUUGAGUGACAAGCAGGCAAAAUUCAACCAACAAAGUGCAUUCCGCGGGACCCUGUAUAUUAGAGUGGGGCGUCAUGAUCAUUUUUUCAAAUCAAUAGUUUUUCGAAGCCAUUCUGGGUCCUGAACAACUGUGCAGAAUUUGAGACCGAUUGGUUGCUUCUUCGCUUUCCGCAUCGCGUUUGAAGUUUGUAUGGAAAUUAGUAUGGGAGAACGUGUAUUUUUGCAUUUCUACUACUAGAGGUUUCAGUUCAUCGUAAGCCAAGUGGCACCUUGCGUUAAAGUAUAACCCAAAGGAUGCCGAAAAACUUUGCUGAAGAAGGCACGUUGCUGGAACUUCCACGAAAAAAGUUAUAACGCUUCGAACAUUGAGUGUUCAAACCAUAUGCAAAAAAUCGUUUAUUCUGCCAGCACUGCCGUACUACGUAGACCAAUAAUUUAACUGAGUGUUAAUUCAAAAUAAUUGAUCUUAUAGGGCUUUAGAGCUAAUGGGAGCUAUCCGGAAUCAUUUCACAAAGAAAAAAAUCCGACGAGAAGGAAGAUGGGUUUUGCCCUUCGAGAACCAUAGGUCGUCCGGUAGUGCUGGCAGAAACAUUGAUUUCUUGCAUAUGAUUUACACAAUCAAUUUUCGAAACGUAAUAACAUUUUUUGUAGACCUUUCAGCUACGUACCUUCUUCGGCAAAGUCUUUCGGCAUCUUCCAGACUAGAUGCUAACGUAUUGAGUCACGUGAUUGAUGAUAAAUUGAAGUCGCUAAGAGUAAAAAUGUAAAAAAAUACGUUUUCCCAUACACAUCUCCAUGUAAAUUUAAAACGCGAUGCGGCAUGCGAGGUUGCAACCAAUCGAGCCCAUAUUUUGCACAGUUGAUUGGGGUCUCAAAACGAUUCAGAAAAACCUUGAUCUCACUUGAUCGGACGAAGUUUGCGUUUUUCCAUACAACUGCGCCCCACUCUACUGUAUAUACACCAAGGAAGGCGAUACCAGGUCCGCCAUGGGCAGAAUUAUUAAAUAUAGGAAUGUCAACGGAAGGAUGUCGUCAAAUAAUGUGGAUUGCAAUUGCAAGAAGAAACGAGAUCAGAUAAAAAGAUGGUGAGCUACAGUAAGACUCUGGGACUAAUGCGUUUCUUCUAGUGUUGUGGGCAACGCUACUGCGAUCUUUCCGUGUUGCAGUGAAGUGAAAAUUCCAAUGAUAAUAACGAUUCGUUUGGCAUUAAGAUAGCACUUCUUUGGAAGAACAACGACAAACGUAGCAACACGCCAGCAAUCGCUUGUGAUGCUUUCGGAGGAGGAUUUUGAGCACCUUAUUUGUAGGAGCGACUGCAGUAUCUGACCAAAAUGUUUAAUGACUUUUUAUUCCGGAACAAAUGAUUCGCCGAUAAAUGGAACUAAUAAAAAUCGUACCCCAAACGCAA